UGGCGGCGAUAGCGCGGUGGUCCCACCUGACCCCAUGCCGAACUCAGAAGUGAAACGCCGUAGCGCCGAUGGUAGUGUGGGGUCUCCCCAUGUGAGAGUAGGGAACUGCCAGGCU
rnacentral:rRNA from 2 species